UAAAAAUAAUUUAACUUAAAAUAUAAAAGAAUAUUUUCAGAAAGUUUAAAAAUUGUUUAAUUUGUUUAACUUUGUUCAUUCAAAUAUUUUUUGAAUGUAACACUCUGGCUCUUUACUUUCUCACCUGCAUCAUAACAUAAACUAAUUUCUCCACUAAUGGUCAAAGUUUAGGCUGUUAACCAGUCACUAUUUGGUAGGAUGAAACAUUUGCUAUUAUUAUUAUUAGUCAAAUAGUGUUUUAAAUUUCAAAGUUUUUCACGCAAAACACCACUCGAUUUAAAUCUAGUUUUACACUUUGGUCUAUUAUCAUAACUAUGCUAAAGAGAAAUCUACACAGAUAUAAUAUAUCGUAACAAGGCUUUCUGUAAUUAUAAAUAAUUUCAACAAGGCUUUCUGUAAAUAUAAAUAGUUAAAACAUAUUUAAAGUAGUGCUACUAACAGAAAUAUUAAAGAUAAAUUUAAUUAUAUUAAAUAUUGCAAUCUUUAUUUUUUUUAGAAAUUAAGAAUACUGCUUGGUGCACCAUAAAUGUUUAGCUUUUUGUUUGUCAGAGUUAAAAUUAAAGUCUCAUUUUGAAUCAGAUGCAUGUGUAAAUUCAAUCCUUCAAUUUUUUAUUGUCUUUUUGUGGGCUGGAUCCCAUCAUUCCCAUCAAUCUUUGUAAAAUUAUUCUCCAAAGCUUUCUUUAUUACUCUCUGUGUUUUUCAAACUUUUUGUUCUCUUGACCCCUUUUUAAGCUGAUGAUAUUAACAAACAAACGAAAAACAGAAAACAGUUAAGUAAAAAAAAAAAAGAGUACCCUGCAAAGUAUAUAUAGAAAACAUUUCAGAAAGAAGGGAGGGGAGGAAUCAUUUACAUUCAGAAGUAGUUAACAGUUAGAAAAUCAUUUUCAUUCAAAAGGUGUUAAGCUUUUUUUGUUUAAUUGCAAUGAAACGCUCAUAUUUUUGAUUAAAAGUAGAUUUAUUUUUAUUAUCAAUCAAAAAAAAAAACUUAUCUUUGGUACAUCUUUGAGCUAAAUAUUCUUUGUAUACAUAUGUACUGACAUUAAAAUAGUUAGUUGAGUAAAAAUAUUUUAAAAGAAAUUUAAUGUCAAGGAUGAGCAUUUUUAUUUUGGCAAAAAACUUUAGCAGAUGCUUAUUUUGCGAUGAAUUUGAAAUAUGGUUUCCAAGAAAGAUCAGAAGUGCAGAUUCUGACGCAGCUAAAAACAAAACCAUUAAAAAUUAUUUAUGGACAUUUAACAACAGACUCUGGCAGAGUCUGUUGUUUUUAGCUUCCCCAGCACGCUCUGGUAUGGUUCAUUUGGAAAAACCAGUCAAAUGUCUGGAAACUCGCAAUCUUUAACUACUGGUCAAGCUAUUGAACAUACCGAAAUAAAGAAUAGAAGUUUUUAUAAUAUUACAAUACAAGUUACUGAAAGCGGUAAAUACUCAUGUGAGUUUGAUGAUGGUAUAUCAACAGUUAAUAGAGUUUCUGUGAUGCGAAAUAUUGCAUCUGUUUUUAACUGAGAGGGAUUUUUUAAACUUUACUUUGGAUAGGAAGAUGAUUGGAAAGAUAAAUUUAAGAAUUUGACAACUUACAUUAGAAAGUUUUUGACAAUCUUCAAAUUCGGGACCCUUUUGCUAUGGGAAGUAUAUGAAAUUCAAUUUUGAUGUUGUCAAUUCUAAAUCAUCUGGAUCUGUGUAUUUUAUGUGUCAGCUUCAGAUUUUCAUGAGAAUAUUGCCUUUAUUUCCUCUGAAAAGCAAUGCCUCUAUGCUGAACACAUCUGCUAAAUAUAAUAUCCUAAGGAAAACAAACAAUCUCAGAAGAGGCUUACAAUACAAACUUGUGUGAAAAUAGACAUGGUGGCAACUUAAGAGCUCUAGUGUCGUCAAACAUUGUAACUACUACAGAUGCAAAUAAAAAAAUUUAUGAUUGGUUAAAAUUAAUUAAUAUUCCAACUAAAAAUGUUUCUUGAUGCAUGCAAGUUAGUCAAGUAUUUAGUUAUGAUUCCAAUUCGAUAUGGAAACAUUUUGAACCAUGCUAUUCUAUGAAAAAUACUUUGCUAGUUGUCAAAAUGGUAGGAGCUGAAAGUUGGAUUUAGGGAGUUUUGCUGAUAUUCCUUGGAGCAAUGUACAAUAUUCGUCAAGCAACAAAACAUUUGUGUUUACUACUUAUCCUGAUAAUAUGUUGAAGAUUAAAGAUCUUGGUAACACCCAACUUUGUUCAAAGAGCCUGACAAAUAGAAGAAUAUAUCCUUGUUUUGGUUUGGAGCAGUUUGUCUUUGAAGGCGAGAGUAAACAUGGGAAGAGAGUAAACGUGGGAAUGAAAAACUGAGAUUAUUCAUUGAAAAUUAGAAGUUAUAAUGUAUUAGGUUCAAAUACACUGAUAGGGAUUCAAGACAUUUAAGUCUUUUAUUUCAUGUAAAAUUAUGAUUGAAUUGAUCAGUUUGUAAUUAAUGUAUAGAGUAUAGAGUGGUGCUUAAAAAAAUCAUAAUACUUUGGUUUUAUGUAAAUA